AAUAUAUGAAUGAUGUCUCAUCACAGAAAAUUCAAAUAUCGAUGUAUAGAAUAAAGAUUUCCUCCCAACUCGACUUCCACCCCUCUUCAAGUUGUGAGAUGGAGCCUUGCAUCUGCUCAGCACUCAGUGCACCAUCUGCUUGAGAUCCUCUGCCUCUGUCCCUCCCCUAGCUAAUGCAGGUGCAUUCUCUCAAAUAAUAGGCUCCAUGGCCAGUGUGGAGCCCAAUGCAAGGCUUGAAUUUAUGAUCCUGAGAUCCAAGACCUGAGCUGAGAUCAAGAGUCAGAUGCAUAACCAACUGAGCUGCCCAGGUGCUCCAGCACUUUUUUCUAACUGCCAGAUACGGAAAACUGCUCUCCAAGGUUGCUGUACCAAAUCAUACUCUGACAGUGUGUUCCUGGGAAUACUACCGGUCCAAUGCAACUUAAAUUCAAAUUAUAGUUUAAGCUUCCAGGGAGGAUCAUCCAUUUCAAGAUUACUCUCACCUUCAGUAUACAGCAUUUGAGGGGCCCAGUUUAUGCUACAGAAGGUCUCCUGUAUUCUACUCUCCAUCAUGUGCAGACUCUGGACUUUAAUUUCUGUUCACUUUACAUUUUCAGGCAUCAAAAUUUAGUUUCCAAGAUCAGCAAAUGCCCUCAGGGGAAAAGUGGCUCUUAUGGUCAUUACUUCUCUAGGUUUCCAUCUCUCUUCCAUUUUAGCCUGGUAAUUACAGGCAUAUACCACAGAACUGAUUUUUUUCCUGUAAAAUACGUCUUGGUUUUUAAAAUCUAAACUUAGAAUAUGUUUAGACAUCUUUCAAUGUAAUUUUUUCAAAUUAUUCUUAUAUAACAAAUGUUUACACUAUGUUCCCCAAACUCAUUACAACUUUUUUUUAAAGCAAGACAACGUAUAAAGAAAAGUUUCAAGUUACACUCCAAUGCAAUUGGUAGACUAUCAGACAUCAUACA